AGAGUUUGAUCCUGGCUCAGGACGAACGCUGGCGGUGUGCUUAACACAUGCAAGUCGAACGGUAAGGCCCUUUCGGGGGUACACGAGUGGCGAACGGGUGAGUAACACGUGAGUAACCUGCCCUCAUCUCUGGGAUAACAGUCGGAAACGGUUGCUAAUACUGGAUAUGAGCUUGCAAGGCAUCUUGUGGGUUGGAAAGAUAUUUUUUGGUUGGGGAUGGACUCGCGGCCUAUCAGCUUGUUGGUGAGGUAGUGGCUCACCAAGGCUUCGACGGGUAGCCGGCCUGAGAGGGCGACCGGCCACAUUGGGACUGAGAUACGGCCCAAACUCCUACGGGAGGCAGCAGUGGGGAAUAUUGCACAAUGGACGGAAGUCUGAUGCAGCAACGCCGCGUGCGGGAUGACGGCCUUCGGGUUGUAAACCGCUUUCAAUUGUGACGAAGCUUUUUGUGACGGUAGCAGUAGAAGAAGCACCGGCUAACUACGUGCCAGCAGCCGCGGUGAUACGUAGGGUGCGAGCGUUGUCCGGAUUUAUUGGGCGUAAAGAGCUUGUAGGCGGUUUGUCGCGUCGGGAGUGAAAACUUGGGGCUUAACUCCGAGCUUGCUUUCGAUACGGGCUGACUUGAGGGAGGUAGGGGAGAAUGGAAUUCCUGGUGGAGCGGUGGAAUGCGCAGAUAUCAGGAGGAACACCGGUGGCGAAGGCGGUUCUCUGGACCUUUCCUGACGCUGAGAAGCGAAAGCGUGGGGAGCGAACAGGCUUAGAUACCCUGGUAGUCCACGCCGUAAACGGUGGGUACUAGGUGUGGGGGACAUUCCACGUUCUCCGUGCCGUAGCUAACGCAUUAAGUACCCCGCCUGGGGAGUACGGCCGCAAGGCUAAAACUCAAAGGAAUUGACGGGGCCCCGCACAAGCGGCGGAGCAUGCGGAUUAAUUCGAUGCAACGCGAAGAACCUUACCUGGGUUUGACAUAUGCCGGAAGCGUUCAGAGAUGGGCGUGCCUUUUUGGUCGGUUUACAGGUGGUGCAUGGCUGUCGUCAGCUCGUGUCGUGAGAUGUUGGGUUAAGUCCC
rnacentral:rRNA from 1 species